rnacentral:rRNA from 1 species
GAAGCGGGGAUACUCAUAUAAGACGAGAAGACCCCAUGGAGCUUCAAACCCAACUACACCCCUAGCUCUUAUAGCCCCACAACCCCCCUAGGCGCCGUGUGCUUGGUUUUAGGUUGGGGCGACCGCGGAGUACAAUAAAACCUCCACAAUGAAUGGGAACACCCCCUUAUCUGAGGGCCACACCCCCUAAGAAUUAGAACACUAACAUAAAAUGAUCCAUUACUUGAUCAAUGAACCAAGUUACCCUGGGGAUAACAGCGCAAUCCAUUUCAAGAGCCCCUAUCGACAAAUGGGUUUACGACCUCGAUGUUGGAUCAGGGUACCCCAGUGGUGCAGCAGCUACUAACGGUUCGUUUGUUCAACGAUUAAAACCCU